CAAGCAAAACGAAGCCCAACGAAAGCAGCUGGAACCCAAACAAACAGACUUGGGUGUUGAUCCAAACAGCACAUCCUGCAUGCUGGUCUCAGAGUCUGCUUCCUGGUACCCAACCUAUGACUCAGUAAAUGUUAGCUGCCAUCGUCAUCAUCCAAAAGCAUCCUAGGUGGAAGCAAUGUCACUCCCGAGAUGGCCGCCCAAUGGUGACACUCAUUAUGUCCAAGAAACAU